rnacentral:misc_RNA from 2 species
AAGUCGUAACAAGGUUUCCGUAGGUGAACCUGCGGAAGGAUCAUUACCGAGUAAGGGUCUCUCAGGCCCGAUCUCCCACCCUAUGUGUACCUACCUUUGUUGCUUUGGCGGGCCCGCUGGGGCAACCCACCGUCGGCUUCGGCUGGCGAGCGCCCGCCAGAGACCAUCCAAACUCUGUUUAUCAGUGUCGUCUGAGAAAAAACACAAUAGUUAAAACUUUCAACAACGGAUCUCUUGGUUCUG